rnacentral:lncRNA from 1 species
UGAUUAAUCAACCUAUUGGUAUCUAAGGUAAGUUAAUGAGAUGUAGUUAUUUAAUUAGUUUCAUUAGCCGACCUGACCAAUUUAUUGAUAUUUUAGGAAGGCAACAGGGGGACCCCCACCGAUCUCCACUUAUCUGGCCAAUUUGAAAGAUUGGAUCUUGAAUUAGGUUGCUUAGUAAUCUUAUUUAGCCUAUGCCAGUU